rnacentral:rRNA from 1 species
AGAGUUUGAUCAGGGCUCAGAUUGAACGCUGGCGGCAGGCCUAACACAUGCAAGUCGGACGGUAGCACAGAAGAGCUUGCUCUUCGGGUGACGAGUGGCGGACGGGUGAGUAAUGUCUGGGGAUCUGCCCGGCAGAGGGGGAUAACUACUGGAAACGGUAGCUAAUACCGCAUAACCUCGCAAGAGCAAAGAGGGGGACCUUCGGGCCUCUCGCUGCCGGAUGAACCCAGAUGGGAUUAGCUUGUUGGUGGGGUAACGGCUCACCAAGGCGACGAUCCCUAGCUGGUCUGAGAGGAUGACCAGCCACACUGGAACUGAGACACGGUCCAGACUCCUACGGGAGGCAGCAGUGGGGAAUAUUGCACAAUGGGCGCAAGCCUGAUGCAGCCAUGCCGCGUGUAUGAAGAAGGCCUUCGGGUUGUAAAGUACUUUCAGCGGGGAGGAAGGGUCGCUGGUUAAUAACCAGCGGCAUUGACGUUACCCGCAGAAGAAGCACCGGCUAACUCCGUGCCAGCAGCCGCGGUAAUACGGAGGGUGCAAGCGUUAAUCGGAAUUACUGGGCGUAAAGCGCACGCAGGCGGUCUGUCAAGUCAGAUGUGAAAUCCCCGGGCUUAACCUGGGAACUGCAUUUGAAACUGGCAGGCUAGAGUCUUGUAGAGGGGGGUAGAAUUCCAGGUGUAGCGGUGAAAUGCGUAGAGAUCUGGAGGAAUACCGGUGGCGAAGGCGGCCCCCUGGACAAAGACUGACGCUCAGUGCGAAAGCGUGGGGAGCAAACAGGGUUAGAUACCCUGGUAGUCCACGCCGUAAACGAUGUCGACUUGGAGGUUGUGCCCUUGAGGCGUGGCUUCCGGAGCUAACGCGUUAAGUCGACCGCCUGGGGAGUACGGCC